GCAAAGUUUAUUUUCAUAUGUUAUAAUCCUCUGUACAAUUAUAGAACCACUUUUUAGUCGAGGCUGCAUGGGUCCUGUGCGAUAAGAACCGUGAACCUUGUCAGGCCCGGAAGGGAGCAGCAAUAAGCGGCGAACCUUAUGUGCUGCAGAUCUGCCUGUGUGGCUUCGGCUAAGAAGUGGUUUUUGC
rnacentral:SRP_RNA from 1 species